rnacentral:misc_RNA from 1 species
AAGUCGUAACAAGGUUUCCGUAGGUGAACCUGCGGAAGGAUCAUUAACACAUCCUUUUCAAAUUCUCAAAGCGCGAAUGCUAGAGCCGUACCGGCAGAGGCCUAGGCCGUUAUGCAUAGGAUUCAAUUUCUAAUUGGAUCUGACGCCUAGGAUGUUUGUCCACCCGGGCAGUGCAAGCAAUUGCAUUGUUCGCUGUGUGAGGGGAUACUCUGACCGGCCCGGUGCCCACAGCUCCUGUGCAUGCUGGCCCCUUUUUUUAACCUUUUCACUUGACAGCACUUAGAAUGCUUGGCGGCGCUGUCCACGGUCGAGGAUUUGAGCUCUUCGUGAGUUCUCCGAGGCCUGUAGGCGGUCCGACUGGCGCCCCUUGAGCGAGUCCUUGCGGCUCUGUUCAUUGGAAUCUAAACACAACUCUUAACAGCGGAUAUCUCGGUUCUC